AAUCUUAUUCAUUUAAAAAAUUAAUAAUCCUAAUCUUGGUCCUUUCGUACUAAAAAUUAGUAAUUAUAUAAAGAUAGAAACCAACCUGGCUCACACCGGUUUAAACUCAGAUCAUGUAAAGUUUUAAUGGUCGAACAGACCAAAUAAUUAAAAUUCUCCUCCUAAUAUAAACUUUAAUCCAACAUCGAGGUCGCAAUCUCUUUUUUCGAUUUGAACUCUAAAAAAAAAUAACGCUGUUAUCCCUAAGGUAAUUUAAUCUUUUAAUCAUUUUUAUGGAUCAUAAAAUCAUACAUCAAUGUAAAAAUAAAGAAAAAGUUAAUUUAAUUUUUCAAUCACCCCAAUUAAAUUAUUAAAUUAAAUUUAUAAAUUAAAAUUCUAAAAAUAUAAAAAUAAUUAAUAAUUAAACUCUAUAGGGUCUUCUCGUCUAUUAUAAAAAUUUAAGCUUUUUAACUUAAAAAUAAAAUUCUUAAAAAUUAAAAUAAAAAAAGCUAUUUUCUCAUCAAACCAUUCAUACAAGCUUUCAAUUAAAAAACUAAUGAUUAUGCUACCUUUGCACAGUCAAAAUACUGCGGCCCUUUAAAAAUUCAGUGGGCAGGCCCUACUUUAAAUUAAAAUCAAAAAGAGAUGUUUUUAAUAAACAGGUGAAAAAUAUAUUUGCCGAAUUCUUUUAUUUUACCUUUCUAUAUAUUAUAUAUAUAUAUAUAUAUAUAUAUAUAUAUAUAUAUAUAAUACUAAUUUUAUCAUCAUUAAAACAAUUCUAAUAUUAUAUUAUUUAUUUUAAUAAAAAAAUUAAAUUAAAUAAAAAUAUUAAAUUUAUAAAUAACAAAUUUUUACAAACUUUAAAUAAAAAAAAUUUUCAAUUCUAUAAAUUAUUAAUUUUUAAUUAAUUAUAAAAAUUUAAAUUAAAGCUUAUCCCUUAAUUUAUUUAAUAUUAAAUUUAAAUUAUUAAAAAAAAAUAACUUAAAAUUUAACUUUAAAAUUAAAUUUUUUUCUUAAAAAACUAGAUAUAUUUAAAAACGGAUAACAUUUCAUUACUAAAUUAAUAUUAUAAAUAUUUAUGAUACAAUAAUAUAAAUAUUAGUUUAGCCCUUUUAAAUUCGAGAUAUAUAUAUAUAUAUAUAUAUAUAUAUAUUUUUUAAUAAACCCUGAUACACAAGGUACAAAAUUUUUUUUUCUUUUUAUUAUAUAAAUAUACUUCCUUCACAGUACUAAUAAUCUAUAAUUAAUAUGAAUUUUUCUUUUCAAUUAAUAAAAACCUUAUUAUUUUAAUUAAAUUUUUUAAACAUUCAAAAAUAAUAAUAAAAUCUAU
rnacentral:rRNA from 1 species